rnacentral:lncRNA from 1 species
UAUAUCUCUUGAUUUAAGGUGUAUAUGACCGGACGAAAUGUAUAUAGACAAAGUAUAUGAUCAUACUAGGUCAUCUAGAGUGAUAUGUAUGUUAAGUAUGCAUACAUACAUAGAGUAUAUGGUUAUACUUAUUGUAUAUAAUAUAGUAGUGGCAUUUUAGUAAUAUAUUUAAAAUAUAAUUUUUUUUUGAAAAAUUUUCGCGU